UACGGAGGGAGCUAGCGUUGUUCGGAAUUACUGGGCGUAAAGCGCGCGUAGGCGGCUUUGUAAGUUAGAGGUGAAAGCCCGGGGCUCAACCCCGGAACUGCCUUUAAGACUGCAUCGCUUGAAUCCGGGAGAGGGAUGCAGAAUUCCAGGUGUAGCGGUGAAAUGCGUAGAUAUCUGGAGGAAUACCGGUGGCGAAGGCGGCAUCCUGGACCGGCAUUGACGCUGAGGAGCGAAAGCUAGGGGAGCAAACGGG
rnacentral:rRNA from 1 species